CACACCUCUAUAAUUCCUUAGACUUAAACCAGUGACAGUCUGGGGCUAAGAUUGGAUCCAGCUGCCCUCAGGCUCCUCUCUGAGAAGGAGUUUAGAAAGCAAGGGAGUCCCUUCUGCACCUUGUGACUCAACAGGAGGGCUUCUCUAACAAACUCUCUGAAGCUCCCACGUCGCCCAUGACAGCUGGGCUGAAUUUGGCUUUCCCUUUCUACUGAACAAGCAUCACUGAAGUUUUGUCUGUACUGCAGCCCCAUCUGCCCCUGGCUCUGCAUGACUGGCAAUUCGUACUCAGGGCUGAUACCUCACAUUUCUGAAAGUUGAAGGAUCAUCUCUGCAUGCUGAAAAGGCCCUAUUUUAUUGCCUGUCCCAGGCUGGUAAAACAGCAGACACAUUGUGAAGUUUCCAUGACAGUGACGUGCUACAGCCUACCAGAAACACAUUAUGGGAUGUAAAUGAGAGUCUGCAGUGCAUGCCCCGGGAUGUGACACGAAGGUGCCCAGCCAGCUGGAGAGCUCUGCAGGACCUUGUAAGGCACAGGGAAAUGAACCUGCUGCAGCCUCAUCCACUGUAGGACCAUGAUUCAGAGGGAACCUUAGUUUCAACUAUUUCCAUAUCUACAAGUUCCAUGCUUUUUUUUCCCUGGCUGUUUAACUGUAAAAGAGUAAACCAGCAUUUAGGCAUUUUGGCAGUUUGGGAUACAAAAAGGAAUGGGGGAGCUCUUAGUUACUUAGAGAGCAAGUAGAGUGAUAUGGGUACACCUAUCCUGUGCAAGAUCUCAGACAUCCUGCAGGUGAGAGCUGCCUUGAGCUGCCAUAUCCCCUGUGCAGCAGUGCCUGGGAAUCCCCUUGAAAGUCAAAUGGGAGUGGCAGGAUCCCUUAGUCCCACUGCUCUGGCUGCCUGGUUUCUGCCUUCAGUGGUAGCUCUGGGUACACACUGUCACAGGUGUUCCCUGUGGAUGGUACCCAGCAUAACUGGGUGUUUGUGCUCAAUAUAAAGAUAUAAACCCAGACAUAUUCGGCCAGAGCAAAUAGAAUUCUAGUCUGGUAUUUUAUCUUGGAUGGUGCCACAUGGAUUCACCUAGGAAAAUACAAAAUAUGACAAAAAUUGAGAGAUAACCUCUCAAAUGUCAUUCCAGUCUUCUCCUAUUUGUUCAUCAUCCUGCCAAGCCAGAGACACCAUCUGUAUAUUUAAUUGCCCUGAGAGAUGUCUUUUCUAUGAAUUUCUCCAGCCUCCUUUUAGAAAGCUGAGGUUUUCUGGCACCUGUUAGGAGGAUGGUGAGGAGCUCCACAGAUUAAACAGAUUUUGGUGUGAGUAAAAAUGUUCUUUGUUUGGUCCGAACCCGCUUCCAGCUAAUUGCAUUUUAGAUCCCCUAUGUCCUGUUUGUGUUCAAGAGUGGAUGUAUAUUCAACCUGCCUUCAUCUUCUCCCUGAUCUUGUAGAGCCCCAUCAAAUUCCCUUCUGAUUGUCUUUUUCCAGAGUGAAGACUACCACCUCUUAGGCAUUGCUUGUACAGAAGUUGUCCCGUGUAUCUUGAAUGCCUUUCAUUAUCUUUUUUAUCAUUUUCUGAACAUUCCCCAGUCUAUUAUACCUUUCUGUGGCUGGAGACCACAUGACACAGCUUUCAGGACACUGAUGCAUAGACACACACAGGGCCAGAUUGAUGAAUUCUGUGCUUUCCCUUUUCAUAAUAAUUUUGAAGACUUGGUUUUCUUUACAACAGACCAUGGCACUGAGAUAAUACUUCCAUGGAACUACCCAGUUAUAAAGCAAGCUGCUGUUUGCUCUCAAGAAUUGUGAAAUUUCUGCCAUCAGUUCUAAUUAUUUUAAAAUGUUAAUUACAAAAAAUUGACACAGGAGAUAUUAGAUAAUUCUCUAGAAAAUUCACAUUUCUUGUACAGUAGAACAAGGUAACUCGGGUAGGAAAGAAAAUGACCAACUCUAAUCAGUCAUCACUGAAAAACUACAAAUUGCUGGAGUGCAGAUACCUCAGCCAAGUUAAUCAAGCAGCAGUUAAUCAAAAUGGAUUUCCCUAAUCAUAUUUCUGUCUUCUU